CCCCAAACUCCGGGAAAUGGCUAUUUCAACCCACAAGCCUUUCCCGACCAGAUGAAGGCUGAGCCCCCCUCAAAGACCCCGAGCAGCCGGCGUCAACUCUCCAACCCCGUCCCUGCUCCUGCCGGCGCCGCCGCGGGGCCCGGGACAAGGCAGCAGCGGGGACCUGCCCGGGCGCGGGCUCCCAGCACGCAGCCGAGCCGCCCGGGACCUGCACUCACUGCGGUUCAGGGGGUGGCCGCUGCCCUCCGCCGACGCCACGAGCUCCAGGGUGAGCUCCUGGGAAGGAGUCGGGAACUUCCCAAGCUCCGGCGGCUUGUGCCUGAAGUGCUGCAGAGUCUGCUCUGGUCAGCGAGUCUCCUUCAGACGUCAGGAAGUUUGGGAGGCUGCAUCAGUGAAGGAAAGCCAGCUGCUCUUCAUUCAGGUGCUGAUCUUUCCCAGACACUGAGGCCCUUGUUUAUCAGCACAAAUGAUGAUAGUUCUGCUGGUAUGAAUAUCAACUGGGAGAAAAGCACUAUCUGAACAGUGGACAAGCAAUAGGAAUAGAAGUUGCCAGCUUCUCUGCUAGUCAGCUCAGAAACAUGAAGUUAGAUCCUGGGACUGGAAUUAAAAUGGUUAAUUGUUUUGAGCAAAAAUGUAAAUACAAACCAGCUUUCUAAAUGUUUUAGGGUGGGCUGCAGAGUCCUCUCUUGAAAGGAGAAAGCCUUCAUUAUCUGUCAGUUGAACCAGAUGGAUGUUUUUGUUAAAUGUCCUGAUUGUGAACACAGCGUUUGACUUAAGCACAGCUUUUAGUAAUGUUGUCCACUCUAUCCUCCACUGCUGCCUCUGUGAUUACACAGACGUAUGGCUUUUCUCCUGUUAUAGUUCUGCAUUUAGCUUUCAAAUGACUGCUUCUAAGUUUCAUAAAUACACUUUUAAGUCUGUGACAAGAGCCCUCCUCUGUGAAGUAUCAAAAAGCUUAGUUCUCUGCUUUUUUACUCUUUUCCCCUCUAUCUCUGCUGUUUUUACCUUCAAUUUUUAAUUACCAGCUCUAUAUUGAUAAUACCCAACUGCCCAUAAUUUUCACUGGCUUUGUUGACUUCACUCUGCCUACACUUCUGUAGUCUCAAACACAGCUUGUGACAUCCCCCCAACUCCCUUAAUUCUACUUAUAUCAAAGGCAGAAGUGUUUUCAGGCAAAAAAACUAUCUGAAAAGGCAAAUCCCUUUUAGUUUCCUUCUUGACUCAUCAGGGUUAGUCUGUGCUACAGAGACAUUGCCAGUAUCGGCAAAUAUACCUACUGUAGAUGCAGCUUAUACAAGCAAAAGAAAUUUGGUACUGUAUAGUGAAAUGAUUUCCUUGAAUGACAGAGUAAGUCCUACAGCCAAAACAACUCUUUUACCCACACAAGUUGCCUCUAAGGGAGAGCAGAGAGUGCCAGCAUAACUGUCACAGGGUAUGAUUCUUGCUAACAUAGCUAUAACAUCAACAUUUUGGAAUAUAGUCCUAGUCAUGAGAGCAUGGACUUCCACUGUCAAUGUCAGAAUUAUCCUUGACCAUUAAUUCACCUCCUCUUUGCACAACUUACACCUUUAAAAUAUGCCUAUUACCACCUCUGAGACUUGAAUUUGGACCACUCUAAAUCCAAGUUUACAACACUGGUCAUAUGUAUCAUUGUACCUCAGUACUCCCCUUGGAAAAAGCCUUAUUCAUGUUUUUAUCUCCUCAAGUAUUGCAGUUCUCUUCUUUAAGGUAUCUCAGAAUACCCGCUGUCAGGGCUCCAGCAUGUGAAAAAGGAAGCUGCUUACCUUUUUAAGGAAGAUGCAUCAAGAACAAUUUUCAUGCCAGUUUCUUCUUUAAAAAUGUCUACUGGCUCACUCAUCUCAAGAUCUAGGUGUCAACUAUCAUCCUUGAUUACAAGACUCUUCAUUGUCCUACUCCAUUUUGGACCUUAACAUUGCCCCUCAGGCUAUCUACAGCUUUUUAUAUUUUUCCAAUUUUGCUUUUGCAACUCCAAGCAUCAGGAAUGUAUUUAUUUUAUUUUAUUGUUUCUUUCCCCCUCGUAAAUUAAAGUUAAGAUUUGUAAAAGCAUUCCAGAUUUUUACUUUUUUUGUACCAGUUAAUUGUAAUGGAAGAUACAAAUCCUGACCUCUCUCCCUCUUUAAAUCUUAUUGAGAUUUCUUCUUAUUCCUGUUUCUUCAAUUCUCUUUUUAUUUGCUUUCUGACUAAAUGCUUUACAUUUUAAAUUGCUAACAUUUGUUGCAUGUGUUUAGAUAACCAUUUUUUUCUUGAAUAUUAUCUACUGCCUUAUUGUUUAAUUCUGCAAAUUAUGUUGCAGUCUUUACUAAAGAUGCUAUUCAAAAAUAAAACUGUAAGGUAUUUUCCCUGUGAAAAUGCUGACCAGACUAAAAUCUGCACAUCUAAAGCUGAAGAGAAAUGUGAUGUUUUACUGGACAACAUGUCAGAACACAGUAAGUGUUAUAACCAUAGUCUAAGAUGUUUACAGUAAAAGCAAGAGGACCAGACCUCUUAAUCAAUACAGCAGAAUUCAAUGUCCAGGAUAAAUAUUGUUGGCAAAAAACCCCCAAAAAAUCAAAGCUUGCUUUAAAUUGCACUCCUUCCAAUCAAUGCAGCCAUUGGCGUGUUAAGUAGCGAGACAGCCUCUUGCUUUAUUCUUGAAGCAGUUGUGUAACAAGCGCCUGCUUUAAUUUCCCAUUAAUAAAAUGAUUAAGUUAUUAAUAAGAUUGUACUGUGUCCUCAUACUUACAGAAUUGUGACUGACACAAUGUGGCAUUCAUAGCAGUACACCCAGAGGCCCUGAUUGUUCAAGCAAACUUGGUUUUUCAUCUUAACUGAAGAGGCAGCUAUAUACACUGUUUGUAAAAGCAUCUUUUCUUCAGGCAGUAUGCCAAUUAUUCUAGUUAAAAAGAAACCAACAGAAGAACCCCUCAGGAUUUUAACUGGUCUUACUAAAAAUCUUUUUCUUUUCUUAUCCAUUGCUCAAGUUCUCAUCUCUUGAGAGAGUUUUGUCAGCACUCUAUAUACGAGGAGCCUCCCAUGAUAAGAUCUUAACUUCUAAUAUAAAAUCCACCUAGGUCAAAAACCUCUCCUUUUUUUGAGUAAAGCCACUUACGCAUUGCUUAUGUAGCAUAAAGCAGCACAAAAGGAUAUAAACCCCAUCUGUCCCUAUGCCAUGCCCCAAUCUAUGAAACAGAUUCUGAGGCAGAAUCACAGCUACUUUAACAUCUUAAAGACCCUAUAAUUAUGGCAGCCUGGCCUGCAGGUGUGUUUUAGGCAGGACCAUUUUUUC